CAGGCUUAAUAAUGAGAAACACUAUUUAGCCGUCUGACCCAGUCACAAAAGGGUUAACUUUUAUUUCUUCUCUUUGAUGGACAUGUAAGUGAGCCAAUGGGUGAGCUCUGUGAGAUAGUGAGCUGACCAAUCAGCUGCCCGCUAGGCUCUGUUACAGUUACACCUCUAGUUUCGCGUCACUGCACGUUCUUUUGGCGCUUGCACUUGAGCAUAGAAGGCUGCGUUAUCUGCUUGAGUGUAAACGAAAGCUGUGCCUGUAUCCACUGUUGUCACGGAGCUAAAGGCAAUGGAUUCCGUUAAAAUGGUCAGGUUUUGGUAAAGAGUGGGAAACAUCGUGCAGAGGUCCUGGAGAGAUACAGAUCCAGACGUUCCGAACGUUCUUCGAGAGACUCAUUGAUUCCCAGUCCAGGUGGCUGGGUGGCGAGCCAACCGUGUUUGACAACGAAUCAAAUCGUUUUAGAUGAACUGUCCGGAUCAUCCUCUUCAUCUUCUUUGUGGUAGGACAAGCACUAACUCAACCUAAAAAUAAAGGGCCCCAACGUUGAAACUGCAUUCUUGUCUACAAAGGCAAGGUGAACCGAGGACAAUCUGAGCUCAAAAGUACUGAAUAAGAGGGUUUUGUUUUGUUUAUGUGCGCACUUUAUUAUUUUAGUUUGUUAUUUUUCAUAAAUGUGUUUUUUGUAUGUAUGUUCUACCCUGUGAUUUUAAUACAGGUUAUCUAAACUGUCA